CAGUCGAGGGGCAGCACAGGUAGCAAUACUGGGUGGCGACCGGCAAACGGGUGCGGAACACGUACGUAACCUUCCUUUAAGUGGGAGAUAGCCCGAAGAAAUUCGGAUUAAUACCCCAUAAGAUUGUGGAGUGGCAUCACUCAGCAAUUAAAGAAAUUCGCUUAAAGAUGGGCGUGCGGCUGAUUAGGUAGUUGGUGAGGUAACGGCUCACCAAGCCAACGAUCAGUAACUGGCGUGAGAGCGCGACCAGUCACACGGGCACUGAGACACGGGCCCGACUCCUACGGGAGGCAGCAGUAAGGAAUAUUGGUCAAUGGACGCAAGUCUGAACCAGCCAUGCCGCGUGAAGGAUGAAGGUCCUCUGGAUUGUAAACUUCUUUUAUAUGGGAAGAAACCACUUUUUUCUAAAGGUGUUGACGGUACCAUAGGAAUAAGCACCGGCUAACUCCGUGCCAGCAGCCGCGGUAAUACGGAGGGUGCAAGCGUUAUCCGGAUUCACUGGGUUUAAAGGGUGCGUAGGCGGAUUAGUAAGUCCGUGGUGAAAUCUCCGAGCUUAACUCGGAAACUGCCGUGGAUACUAUUAAUCUUGAAUACUGUGGAGGUUAGCGGAAUAUGUCAUGUAGCGGUGAAAUGCAUAGAUAUGACAUAGAACACCAAUUGCGAAGGCAGCUGGCUACACAGAGAUUGACGCUGAGGCACGAAAGCGUGGGGAUCAAACAGGAUUAGAUACCCUGGUAGUCCAUGCCCUAAACGAUGAUUACUCGACAUUUGCGAUAUACAGUAAGUGUCUGAGCGAAAGCAUUAAGUAAUCCACCUGGGAAGUACGACCGCAAGGUUGAAACUCAAAGGAAUUGACG
rnacentral:rRNA from 1 species